rnacentral:sRNA from 1 species
AGGAGCUAAUCGUGUAGAAAACUUUGAAACUUUCCUUUUGUAUAUUACAUUAAUCCAUAGAAGAAAAUCUCUUUUAAUGAGGAGUGAUGUAGUUACAAACUCUCCAGAGCCAUAAUUAGAGCAAACUAAUUGAAGUUGUGUUUUGACACACUUUCCAAAUUCACGGGUGCUGGAUGACAUAUUCACAACACUGUUGCUGCACAACCAUGGCGACGGCAAAAUCAUUAGGCUAAUAACACUUAUUUGCAUUCUUAGCAUGCCAGCAGCUCUCCUGUUAAAUACUGUUUCAACCACUGCUCGUUUACUGUAAGUUUCCACUGAAAGAUAUUAACAGUAAUUAUUACUACUUUUGUGGAAUUUUAAUGCAAAAAA